rnacentral:tRNA from 1 species
GCUGGUGUGGCUCAGAGGAUAGAGCGUCAGCCUGUGGACUGAAGGGUCCUGGGUUCGAUUCCAGUCAAGGGCA